GACGAACGCUGGCGGUGUGCUUAACACAUGCAAGUCGAACGGUAAGGCCCUUUCGGGGGUACACGAGUGGCGAACGGGUGAGUAACACGUGAGUAACCUGCCCUCAUCUCUGGGAUAACAGUCGGAACCGGUUGCUAAUACUGGAUAUGAGCUUGCCAGGCAUCUUGUGGGUUGGAAAGAUUUUUUUUGGUUGGGGAUGGACUCGCGGCCUAUCAGCUUUUUGGUGUGGUAGUGGCGCACCAAGGCUUCGACGGGUAGCCGGCCUGAGAGGGCGACGGGCCACAUUGGGACUGAGAGACAGGCCAAACUCGUACGGGAGGCAGCAGUGGGGAAUAUUGCACAAUGGACGGAAGUCUGAGGCAGCAACGCCGCGUGCGGGAUGACGGCCUUCGGGUUGUAAACCGCUUUCAAUUGUGACGAAGCGUUUUUGUGACGGUAGCAGUAGAAGAAGCACCGGCUAACUACGUG
rnacentral:rRNA from 1 species